UUUUCCGGUUGAUCCUGCCGGACCUGACUGCUAUCGGAUUGAUACUAAGCCAUGCGAGUCAUUGUAGCAAUACAAGGCAGACGGCUCAGUAACGCGUAGUCAAUCUACCCUAUGGACGGGAAUAACCUCGGGAAACUGAGAAUAAUGCCCGAUAGAACAUUAUGCCUGGAAUGGUUUAUGUUUCAAAUGAUUUAUCGCCAUAGGAUGGGACUGCGGCCUAUCAGUUUGUUGGUGAGGUAAUGGCCCACCAAGACUAUUACAGGUACGGGCUCUGAGAGGAGUAGCCCGGAGAUGGGUACUGAGACACGGACCCAGGCCCUAUGGGGCGCAGCAGGCGAGAAAACUUUGCAAUGUGCGAAAGCACGACAAGGUUAAUCCGAGUGGUUUCUGCUAAAGAAACCUUUUGUCAGUCCUAGAAACACUAACGAAUAAGGGGUGGGCAAGUUCUGGUGUCAGCCGCCGCGGUAAAACCAGCACCUCAAGUGGUCAGGAUGAUUAUUGGGCCUAAAGCAUCCGUAGCUCGUUUUGUAAGUUUUCGGUUAAAUCCAUGCGCUUAACGUAUGGGCUGCCGGGAAUACUGCAUAACUAGGAAGUGGGAGAGGUAGACGGUACUCGGGAGGAAGGGGUAAAAUCCUUUGAUCUCUUGAUGACCACCUGUGGCGAANGCGGUCUACCAGAACACGUUCGACGGUGAGGGAUGAAAGCUGGGGGAGCAAACCGGAUUAGAUACCCGGGUAGUCCCAGCUGUAAACUAUGCAAACUCAGUGAUGCAUUGGCUUAUGGCCAAUGCAGUGCUGCAGGGAAGCCGUUUAAGUUUGCCGCCUGGGAAGUACGUACGCAAGUAUGAAACUUAAAGGAAUUGGCGGGGGAGCAC
rnacentral:rRNA from 1 species